CUAGCCCCUUCUUCAGUGGAUCCUUUAUCACCCCAGCGAACCUAAGGAAAGCCAGAAUUCAGACGUAAAUGCACUGUAUGCAAAGGACAAGGAAACCGUUGCAAAUAACAGUAGCGGAAGAAGUUUGCAUUUGGACGAAGUUCUGAAUAAACGAGAGGGGAGGGACAUCCUGCCUGGAGUUGCCAGGCAUGAAAAGAGAAGAAUCCAAGUAAGAAAAACCAGAGAAGACUGACCUUCCGCCCUGAGGGAAAGAAUUAAGAGCAUCACUGCACACUGCUUGGCAGCUGCCGGAAGAAUGGCAGAAGAGUACAGCACAGAGGAGCAACAAAAACAGACAACUGCAUUACCACAUGAACUGAAAAGACGGAAGAAAUGUAAUGACUAAUCCAGCAAGUUUUUCAUUGGCCACAGCUCAGAAACCACAUUUAACUGCCGGGAAGGCUCAUGAUAUAAAAUAAAGUAGAAGUAGUAACAGACAACCUCCCUAGAUUUCUGCUGGAACACUCCUGUGGAGAACGAGACAGAAGAGAGUCUUUUUAUUAGGGAAGAGCUUAUAGUUCUUGCCUCAGAAACCCCAGACCAUGAGGAUGCAGACAGGGGCUGAGGACUUCUUGCCCUAGGAUAGUCUGGGGCCUCACGGAGUACACCAAAGCUUUUGAUUGCAUGGGCUUCGGCACGGUCAGGAGAGAAGGCCGGUUCCUCUGCUGCCCCAGGUUCCGCAAGCCCGAGACAAGACAAGGAAUACAGUAGCAGCCUGGAAGCCAUCUCCACUUCCCAAGUCCUCAGCGCUGUUGCUGAACUGGAUGAAUAAUAAACUUCACCCAUUUAAAAACCCCAACAUGCAAGGAGAUGGAAGGAUAGUUAGUGAAACAGCACUGCUGACUGCUGCUAGAAGGAUAAAGAGCGCGCUCAGAUGAAAAAAGAUGCAACGUGUGCAAGGGAUUAUGAAGACAAUAUGGGAUUUCCAACUUGAGAGCCCAUAAUGGACUACAAAUACCAAUUUUAGUGAUAGUACUUUUAAAAGGGUCCUUGAUUUCGGGAUGUCUGCAUACUAUUACGGCCAACAACUUUCAAGUAACGGAGAAAAGGCUUUUACCAAAGACUUCACAGAAAUAUAACACGCUGAGCAGAAAGCCAAUGAGCAGUACGCCAGCAUGCUGAUGUUGCUUCAUGUGCGUGCAGGUCUCAGAAAGCCAGAAGCACUGCUAAGAGUGCAGUCCACAGCGUUGAAGCUGGUCUCUUUUUCCAUUUAUUGCGUAUCACUAAUGAAAGAAAACUCCCUCAACAGAUGGCUUAUGUCACAUGUAGCUCUCCUGUUACUUAACGUAUUUCCUAUGGUAUCUGUGUUUCCCAGCAUGCUACGAGAUAAUCGUGAGUCGCACACCCAGUGACUUUCUCUCGUAGUCUUUACUCACCACUUUGCAGCAGAGCGGCCAGAACCACCAGAGCAGACCGAGUGCCACUAACAGUAGCAGCACAAGAACAGCAAUAAGCGCCGCUACUCCACUAGACUGCAAAGAAAGCAGAAAGGCAGUGUCAGUGGAUGUUGCAAAUAACUGCUGCCUGGUUUUCCCACUCACCCCAAAACAGCUUCCUACUGACCGACACAAAUCCCACGCAAAUUGUUCCCAUGGGUUGGAUCCUAUUCUUGCCAAUGCAGAAAUUCCUCACAAAGGAUCAAGAAGGGGGUCUUAGCCAAAUGCGUAUCUGGCACAAGUUCAGUGACACGCUUCGUUGUAAGUCUCCUCAGUUCCGCUAGUUACGUAGAAGGUAAGCUAGGAUGCUUCAAUAGGAGCUGCGUGUCACAAUAACUGACGUAUCAACACUAAAAAGAGGGAGGAGGUGGUAAGAUGCUAUUCGUGUUUCUCAUUCCCUACGAGUUCUGGGGCCUGCAAGUCUCAGGUACUCGAAGGGACUGAACACAGCGUGCUGAACACAGCAGUACUGGUGGACAUAUAAAAUUGAAAAUGACAGAACUUUGAAAACUACUUUCUUCUGCCUACCUGUAAAGCACACUUCAAAUUAAGUCAUUCAGUCAUCGGUAACGGGCCCAAGUUGCCCCAAUGCAAGCCAGGAUUAUUUCUGCUGAGGUCAGUGGAUUCAUUUUGAUGUAAAACUGAUAUCCUUGAGAUAAGAACGAGGCCCAACUUGAAGAAAAGAAAGGGUACCUCGACUGCUAAGCAACGAGCUGUUACGACACAAACGGGAAAAGUCUCCUCCUAAGUCUGUGGAUAAGAGGUGCCCUUCUUCUCCCGUGAGGACACAGGUCUGUAUGGAUUGGUAGGUGCGGGGAAUUUUAAGGAAUCUAUACUAACAAUACAUAUAUAACGCUUUUAUGCUUAUAACCCAUACGUCUGGGGCAUUCACACUGUACAGACUGUAGCGCACUAAAUCCCUGUAGUAGUGCUGUUUGAACCUGAAGGCACCAUCCCAAGAAGUUCUGAACAAGUGUUACUGCUUCCAGCAAUACUGCUUUUAAUGAAGAAAUGAGCAGCCCAUCUCCCACCACCUCAAACUCACAUCCUGUAGGUGCUUUUAUUCUUACACUUGGUGUUCUGUGCUGCUGUGCUGGUUUAGAACAACGCUGAGAAAAAGGCAACAGUGACCUUAUGAAAAGAGAAGUUAUUCAGACUUCAGCUGGGGAAAAAGGAAAGGAGGGACACCCAGGGCAUCACUAAGGCUCGAGCAGAGCGUGAGUAAUUCUGUCAAAGUGAGAAAAGUUGCACUGGAGAUACACCAUUGCAAAUGGUAGGUGAAACAGAGCUUUAUUCCAAGUACGCGUAGGUGCAGCGAGGCAUACGCAUUUACGAGAAACAGGUAAGAUGCAUGCCACAGUGCCUAGAUGCAAUAUAUUUUUUGUUUGUUUUCACUGCAGGAAUGUGUGUUCGCUAGGGGAGGCUGUAGCUUCUGACUCUUAUAUACCAGUUAGCCAUCAGCUGCUUAGCUAUCAGAAUUAGUGGAACAAUUCUAGCAUUGACCCAUUUCUUGCAGUUGCCCAUCUGCUACUAUGGAAACAGCAGUGCUCCUUGUAUGGAGCUGUCUUUGCUGCAACACGUAUGAAAGG